GUCAGAUCAGUAUUGGCAUGGUAGUUUGAGCAGCAGCUACAUCUUAAUCCAUCCUCUUUUGAAAUCACUUAUAGGAGCAUCGUUUAAGGGGGACUCUUAAAUGAGGGCAGAACACUAAAGCCUGCAGGGAGUUCACUUCAUGUGGGUGUACCAAGGGAUGCCUCAGCCAACGCUGCAACUGCAGAUUGUUCAAUCCAUAACCUGAGAGUUGUGAACCUAUAACUGAGGGGGAAAAAAGUAACCAAGGAACAAAAUAAUUAAAGAGUCACGUGGAAUGUAUAGACGCAUGCAACUGCAGGAAACUUGACAGUACUUGCCAGAACACUGAAGAGGAGUGCGAAUAAGC